AACGAACGCUGGCGGCAUGCCUAACACAUGCAAGUCGAACGAGACCUUCGGGUCUAGUGGCGCACGGGUGCGUAACGCGUGGGAACCUGCCCUUAGGUUCGGAAUAACUCCCCGAAAGGGGUGCUAAUACCGGAUAAUGUCUUCGGACCAAAGAUUUAUCGCCUUUGGAUGGGCCCGCGUUGGAUUAGCUAGUUGGUAGGGUAAAAGCCUACCAAGGCGACGAUCCAUAGCUGGUCUGAGAGGAUGAUCAGCCACACUGGGACUGAGACACGGCCCAGACUCCUACGGGAGGCAGCAGUGGGGAAUAUUGGACAAUGGGCGAACGCCUGAUCCAGCAAUGCCGGGUGAGUGAUGAAGGCCUUAGGGUUGUAAAGCUCUUUUACCCGGGAUGAUAAUGACAGUACCGGGAGAAUAAGCUCCGGCUAAGUCCGUG
rnacentral:rRNA from 1 species